GGGUGUUCGGCUACGUCACUGGGGCCCUACGGUGCCUGGAGCUGGGCAGUCUUCUCGUCAGAGUGGGGACUGAUGAUGAUUAUUCCCCACCUUCUAGGACACAAAGACCAACGAGCCACCACAGCCACCAGUCCCAGAACCCGCUAAUGCUGGGGAACGGAAAAUGAGGGAGUUCAACUCUGGCAAGUUCUCAGCGAAAUCCACGACCUUUUCCUUUAUCUUCUGGACUCUCAAUGUGACUGAUGAAAGUUACCACAUGCUCUGCAGGGGGAAAUGGUUUAGCAUGUAUUACUACAUCUUAAUCACAUCUUUGUAAAGCCAGGAGCAUUUUGAAAGUCACGUUACAGACAUUCAGACAUUGUUUAAACAUAGUCUGUAUAUACCAAAGUAUAGGACGUUGUAUCAUCUCAUAUUAAUUAGUUAGUUGGCUCAAAAUUAGUGCUAAUGACUUAGUAAUUCAGUGAUUUCUGUUAGCUUUAAAACCUUUAUUUCAGAACUAUUUCACCUCUUGGUUUUCAUUUUUGCUGUGUGUCACUGCCUGCCAGCUGCUAAUUUAUUAACUCCCAGUGAAUCACGUGUCCUGUGAAGGGACUGAAUAUUAGUGGCAAAUUAUGUUGAUGAUUUAUAUUUUGAAUAAAUAGUUUGAAUACAUAGAA
rnacentral:lncRNA from 1 species